ACCGGCUCCCUCAGCCCAGCCCUCGCCCACCGCAGCUGGCCCGACAGCCCCGGACAGCUCGCCCCUCCGCAAACAGCCCUCGGGACGCCCCCACCCCGUGGCCGACUUCACUGGCGGGACUUCCUUUAAUGUUUUACCGCUGUAGCUUCAUCACUGUGGUCAGUGUAACUUCCCUCUGAUAACUGCACACCUCCUCCUGCCCAGGAUAUAUGUUAACAGUCUUCUUUCAACAUAUGACCGCUGAUACACAUCUGAGGGGUCUCAGGACUGUUCUACUAGACAAUGAAAUAACCUUACCCUAACAACAGGAUAAGUGCAGCUCUUUCUGCCCACGGUCCGUCCCGUACUGUAAUACAAACACCUGUUUGGCACCCAAAA